AGCCCUCUGAACAUAUGGAGGGUCCCGCCUGCCCAGUGACCCCUAAGUUAAACGGCCGCGGUAUCUUGACCGUGCAAAGGUAGCAUAAUCAUUUGUCUUUUAAAUGGAGACUUGUAUGAACGGCGAAACCUUUUUUAACUGUCUCCCUCCCUGCCCUUCGAAAUUUCUUUUCGUGUGAAGAAGCACGAAUAAAUUAGAAAGACGAGAAGACCCUGUCGAGCUUCAGCCAACAGGUGAACUAAAGCCACGAGCCAGCAAUCACCAAAAGGCUUUGGUUGGGGCAACCAUGGAGAAAAUAAACCCUCCAGAACAAGUAGCAGAAAUCAACUCCCUACAUACAUUUAGAGAACCAGGAACUGGUAACCGGAAAAAGUUACCGCAGGGAUAACAGCGUCAUCCUCUCUAAGAGUCCUUAUUGACGAGAGGGUUUGCGACCUCGAUGUUGGAUUGGGGCCUCCCUAGGGUGCAGAAGCUCUAAAUGGUUAGACUGUUCGUCUAUUAAAGCCCU
rnacentral:rRNA from 22 species